GAUGAACGCUGGCGGCGUGCCUAAUACAUGCAAGUCGAGCGAACGGACGAGAAGCUUGCUUCUCUGAUGUUAGCGGCGGACGGGUGAGUAACACGUGGAUAACCUACCUAUAAGACUGGGAUAACUUCGGGAAACCGUAGCUAAUACCGGAUAAUAUUUUGAACCGCAUGGUUCAAAAGUGAAAGACGGUCUUGCUGUCACUUAUAGAUGGAUCCGCGCUGCAUUAGCUAGUUGGUAAGGUAACGGCUUACCAAGGCAACGAUGCAUAGCCGACCUGAGAGGGGGAUCGGCCACACUGGAGCGGGGACGCGGUCCAGACUCCUACGGGAGGCAGCAGUAGGGAAUCUUCCGCAAUGGGCGAAAGCCUGACGGAGCAACGCCGCGUGAGUGAUGAAGGUCUUCGGAUCGUAAAACUCUGUUAUUAGGGAAGAACAUAUGUGUAAGUAACUGUGCACAUCUUGACGGUACCUAAUCAGAAGGCCACGGCUAACUACGUG
rnacentral:rRNA from 1 species